GUGCCAGCCGCCGCGGUAAUACGUAGGGUGCGAGCGUUAAUCGGAAUUACUGGGCGUAAAGCGUGCGCAGGCGGUUUUGUAAGUCAGAUGUGAAAGCCCCGGGCUCAACCUGGGAACUGCGUUUGAAACUACAAGGCUAGAGUGUGGCAGAGGGGGGUAGAAUUCCACGUGUAGCAGUGAAAUGCGUAGAGAUGUGGAGGAAUACCGAUGGCGAAGGCAGCCCCCUGGGUCAACACUGACGCUCAUGCACGAAAGCGUGGGGAGCAAACAGGAUUAGAUACCCUGGUAGUCCACGCCCUAAACGAUGUCAACUAGUUGUCGGGAGAGGAGACUUUCUUGGUAACGCAGCUAACGCGUGAAGUUGACCGCCUGGGGAGUACGGCCGCAAGGUUAAA
rnacentral:rRNA from 1 species